rnacentral:rRNA from 1 species
AGUCGAACGCGCAGCAUUCUGUAGCAAUACAGGGUGUGGGCGCGUGGUCGAACGGGUGCGUAACACGUGGAUAACCUUCCUUCAGGUGGGGAAUAACCCAUGUGAAAACUGGUGCUAAUACCGCAUAACAUGACGAUGGCACAUGCUGUUGUCUUCAAAGGCGCAAGUCGUCCAGAAUGAGGGAUCCGCGGCCGAUUAGCUUGUUGGCGAGGUAAUGGCUCACCAAGGCAUUGAUCGGUAGCCGGACUGAGAGGUUGGCCGGCCACACUGGAACUGAGACACGGUCCAGACUCAAUACGGGAGGCAGCAGUGGGGAAUUUUGCACAAUGGACGAAAGUCUGAUGCAGCAACGCCGCGUGGGGGAUGAAGCUUCUCGGAGUGUAAACCCCUUUCGACCCGGAAGAAUGCCCGCAAGGGUUUGACGGUACGGGUAUAAGAAGCCCCGGCUAACUACGUGCCAGCAGCCGCGGUAAUACGUAGGGGGCCAGCGUUGCUCGGAAUUACUGGGCGUAAAGGGUCUGUAGGCGGUGCGGCCAAGUCGAUAGUGAAAUCCCUAGGCUUAACCUAGGGGCUGCUAGCGAAACUGCCGUGCUUAAGAGUUGUGAGAGAGGCGAGUGGGAAUUACGGGGUGUAGCCGGUGAAAUUGCGUAGAUAUCCGGUAGGAAACCAUCCGAGGGGAAAGGCGGGUCGUGGGAUUCACAAAUUGAACGGCUUGAGAAGAACUGAAAAGGCUAAGGGGGAGCCCAAAACAGGGAUUUAGA